rnacentral:rRNA from 1 species
CACGGGGGGAGCAAGCGUUGUUCGGAAUCACUGGGCGUAAAGGGCGCGUAGGCGGUCAGCACAAGUCAGUUGUGAAAUCUCCGGGCUUAACUCGGAAAGGUCAACUGAUACUGUGCGACUAGAGUGCAGAAGGGGCAACUGGAAUUCUCGGUGUAGCGGUGAAAUGCGUAGAUAUCGAGAGGAACACCUGCGGCGAAGGCGGGUUGCUGGGCUGACACUGACGCUGAGGCGCGAAAGCCAGGGGAGCGAACGGG